rnacentral:lncRNA from 10 species
CAAGAAGUUGAAUUAGAGCCAGCUGCUUCGUCUGAGUUGGGUUAAGUCAGAGGGGGAGGGUUGAUAUUGGGUAAUCAGAACAAAACGAGCUGGAGGGCCAGCCACCUGCUUAGUCGGAGUAAGAAUGCCUGCAGAGACCUGGACCAGAGUGGGCAGAAUGGAGGCCUAUUAUAGGAGACAUAUUGCUCACCCUUCACGAGAGGUCAAACACCUGAGUUAAAUUUUGGAAAGCUUCUAUAUACCUAUCAGGAUCUUCAGAAAAUCAGACUAAGCCUCCUUUUAUUUGCCUAAGGACCUGCAAUGAGAAGGGAACUUGAACCCUAGUGGCAUCACCUCCAUUGGGAAUUUCCUAUAGGGAGUGCUGAUAGUUGUUUUAAUAGGAACAACUUUGGUUCAACUUUAACUGCAAAUUGCCUGUUUUCAGAAGCAGCUCAAAUAUCAGAUCAAGUUAAUUUAGUUGGACUCCUGUCCCAUGCUUGAAAGUUUCUUCAUUGGAAAAGAUAUCCACGACUGUUACAGAUGCUUCGUGGAGGUUCAAAAAGACUACAGAUCAAGGCCAGUGACCUUCUACACAUGGUGGACACUCCAGCCUCUGCUCAAUCUCCAUCCACACUUAAAGGAAAUAGCCAACUCUUGGCCAACCUUCAGGCCUGGGAAGAGGCUCAAGCAGACACUGAAGACGGACUUAAGGCUGAAUAUGGCUGGAAUACUGCCCAAAUGAACUGACCAUUUUCCCAGUACUUUCAUCUUCAGAGAGAAGGCACUAAAAGUGGAUGGAGAGAAGACACAGAGGCUGGGCUGAAGGGGGAGGAAGCUGGGAGCCCUGCACAGGGCUACUGCACACUGGGACCUGCUCCUGGUUCAGCUCUGGAGGAAAGGCAUGACCAAGGACCAGGGUAUAUACACCAGACAACAGAGCCGUUUCAUUUUGGGGGCUCGUUUGGGAUCAGAAUCAGAAUGGAAGGUAGAAACAUCAGAGUGGCUAUACGAUGUCCGGAAGUGGUGGGUUCUUGGUCUCACUGACUUCAAAAAUGAAGACGAAGACGUGGACUCUGGCGUGAACCCAGGAUGAAGGAGUGUUUCGACUCAUCUGACUCAUUAUGCCUUCUUUGCCCUGGAUCUUACACAGAAAUGCUCUCCAUACCUUGCCACUGCUGCUGGGAAGGAACAGGGGAGGAGUGACAUUGAGAUUCAAGACUAUUUUUCCUACCUCUUCAGUGCCUCUUUCAGCCAUAUGAAGUUAAAACCAGGUAAUGUGAGUGCUGAUCUGAUUUCUGAUUCAUUUGAAGGUGCUUUUUCUAUGUGUAGAUAGUUGUUAAAUUGAUAUCUUUGGGGGGUGACAAGCAGUAAAGCCUUCUAUUCUGCCAUCUGGCUCUACUCCUGUCUCUCAAUAAUUGCUUAUGGAUUAGGAGCUGAGGCACAGCUUUGGUGGAUCAUUUCCUCAAAAUCUUAAACAGUUAUAAUUAAGCUGUUGGUGAGAAUUGUAGGGUCAUGUAAGGCUCAGCAUCCUCUCCCACACUCAUAGGGGGUCCUAUUAGUAGAAUUCAGCUUCUUGCAGCUGUAGGACUGAGACCCUCAGUCUCCAGAGGCUGCCCCUCUGCACAGGCAGUUCACAACAUGGCUGUUUGCUUUCAUCCUUGAACCCUGCAGGAAAGUAAUCUUUCAGUCUCUUUUAAGGGACUCCCCAGAUUAGGUCAAACCAAUGCAAAAUAAUCUGUGGUUGAAUAACUAAAAGCCAACUAAUAUGGACCUUUAUUGAAUCUCCAAAAUUUCUUCACCUUUGCAAUGUAACUUAAUCACAAGAGAGAAACACAUCAUUUUCACAGGUCUCACCCGCACUUAAUUAUGGGAGGGGAUUAUAUAUAAGGUGUAUGCCAUGGGUUAUUUUGGGACCAGCUUAGAAUUCUGUGCACAGACUGUUUUGCCAUAUACCAAAAGAUUAGCCCAGAGUCAUUUAAAUUUUUUGGGGGGUGGAUAGGGGGAAUAUCGGUGAUGGAAAGAAC